UACGAAGGGGGCUAGCGUUGCUCGGAAUCACUGGGCGUAAAGGGUGCGUAGGCGGGUCUUUAAGUCAGGGGUGAAAUCCUGGAGCUCAACUCCAGAACUGCCUUUGAUACUGAGGAUCUUGAGUUCGGGAGAGGUGAGUGGAACUGCGAGUGUAGAGGUGAAAUUCGUAGAUAUUCGCAAGAACACCAGUGGCGAAGGCGGCGACCUGGUCCGUGACUGACGCUGAGGCGCGAAAGCGUGGGGAGCAAACAGG
rnacentral:rRNA from 1 species